rnacentral:rRNA from 1 species
GCCGCGGUAAUUCCAGCUCCAAUAGCGUAUAUUAAAGUUGUUGCGUCUAAAAAGCUCGUAGUUUGAAAACUUGCCUUGGCUUACAACAGACGUCUAAGGGCGUCACCGUUUGUCGAGAGCAAAUAUGGGUGACUGUUCUUGCCUUCUUCACUGAUUGGCUCGUAAAAGUCAUCGAAGAUCACUUUGAUUAAAUUAGGGUGCUCAAAGCAAGUGUGCUACUUGAAUAUGAAUGCAUGGAAUGAUGGAAUAUGUUGUUGUUCUAUUUGUUGGUUUUUUGAAUGACGAAAUGAUUGAAAGGAACUGUUGGGGGCAUUCGUAUUGUUGUGAGAGAGGUGAAAUUCUUAGACCAUAGCAAGACGAACUACUGCGAAAGCAUUUGCCAAGAAUGUUUUCAUUGAUCAAGAACGAAAGUUAGAGGUUCGAAGGCGAUCAGAUACCGCCCUAGUUCUAACCAUAAACUAUGCCGACUAGCAAUUUGCUUUGUAUUUUUAUGACUAAGUGAGAGGCCACGGGAAACCAAAGUAGGGUUAUGGGGGAAGUAUGGUUGCAAAGCUGAAACUUAAAGGAAUUGACGGAAGGGCACCACCAGGAGUGGAGCCUGCGGCUUAAUUUGACCCAACACGGGAAAACUUACCUGGUCCUGACACUAGAAGGAUUGACAGAUUGAUAGCUCCUUCUUGAUUUGGUGGAUGGUGGUGCAUGGCCGUUCUUAGUUGGUGGAGUGAUUUGUCUGGUUAAUUCCGAUAACGAACGAGACUCUAGCCUAUUAAAUAAUAUGCGGAAUCAAUUUCUCCCGCGUUAUUUCUUAAUGGGAUCAAGCGUGUUUAACGCUUUGAAACAGAGCAAUAACAGGUCUGUGAUGCCCUUAGAUGUUCGGGGCUGCACGCGCGCUACAUUGAAGAACAAAGUGAGCCCUCUGGCUUUUAACAAAGCUAGAAAUCUUUUAAUGUUCUUCUUAAUGGGGAUAGGGGAUUGCAAUUGUGCCCCUUGAACGAGGAAUUCCCAGUAAGUGCUAGUCAUUAGCUAGUACUGAUUACGUCCCUGCCCUUUGUACACACCGCCCGUCGCUACUACCGAUUGAAUAGUUUAGUGAGAUCAUCUGAGUGUUUGUAUGUGCAUUCUGUGCUUGUAUGGUGUACGAAGAAGAUCAAACUUGAUUAUUUAGAGGAAGUAAAAGUCGUAACAAGGUUUCCGUAGGUGAACCUGCGGAAG